GGGAUCACCUGGAAUUGUCCCUAGUCCAGCAGACUCCAACAACUCCAGUGAAAACCUGUACACCAUGAUCAACUCAGGAGGUGGAGGUCGCAACAGUUUUCCCAUAGGCCCAGGCUCUGAGGGCCCCCUAGGGGCC